GUUUGUAGAGAUACAUUUAAUACAUAAAUACAUAUUCAUAAAAGAAUAUUUUAAACUAAAGAAAGACUAAUGAUGUUUGUGCAUUUCAUUUGGAACUGAAAUUUAUAUUUGUGUAUUGCAUGUAAUACAGGAUGCCUACAUACUUAUGUAUAAUUACACCUAAAUACUCUCAAAUUUAGAUUAUUGACUUCUUUAAUUUGUAAAACGCUGUCACACAAAUAUUACAAUUAUCCUGCCACACUUGUAUUUAUGCAGCCUGAAUAUGCAGUUAUGGCAUCUUUCUUUUUCCUGGGGUAUAAUUUCCCCCUGAUACUGGAAUUGUUCUUUGUUGAAUCUUUGUGAUGAAAAAGAAAAGCUGUUAUAUGACUGUCAGUUUGCAAUAAAUGUGUGAGAAGAUGUACAGUCAGGAUAGACUGACCAUCUUUUAAUGUGUCUUCUCUACCUGGGUUUCAGGGCUCCAGUUCCCUACCAGUGAUAUUUAAAGAGAAAAGAAAUGAAAGCAAAGGUCAUACAAAAAUCACCUUUAACAUUUUACAGUGAAAAUGGGAAAAUUUAGAAAUAUUUACCAUAAUUUGUUAUACGAUUUUAAUUUCUUUCCCAUAUUAAUUUUCAAAAUACUAUUAUUAUAACUAACUCAUUUAAAAUUGUCAUUCUGUUCAACUCUUUCCUUACAUAAAAGAUAUUCAGCCCUUUAAAAUCUCUAAAACUGAAAUGAUUGUUUUCUCUACCAUUUGUAUUCUCCAAAGCUUCCUGCCAUUCAGCUGAAGUAAAGCUUUUGGAUGCAUUUGAUAACAGUAAAGCUAAAGGAUGCGUUUGAUAACAAAUAAACUGUUUUGAUCAGCCUGUUCUAUUCUUACCUUGAACUUCAAUUUACAAAGAGCUUGAGGAGUUUGGAUGCUUAAUGCUGGUAUUGUGUGAAGUGGGUGUUCCUGGAAGUCACACUUAUGAAUUAUUGUGUGCCCCAACUGCUUCCAGGCAUAAAAUUUCUCUAACAGACAGCAGCUGACAGACUGGGAGAAUCUGGCUCCAAGUGUCAGAUAACGUCUAACUGUAAUCGAAAAAUGAUAACAUCAUUUUUAUGUGACUCAUAUGCAAAAUGAAAUAUGUUCAUCUUUGAGGUCGGCUGAUGGGAAAUAAAAUCAGAUAUUUUACUUCUAACUCCAUCAAGCAAAAGAAAAAUCAGUUGUGAUUCCAAGAAGAGAUGAACUCUUGCACAGCCCGUGAGUUCCUAGUUCCCCAAGCAGAAACUGGACUGGACCAAGGACUGAACUCAUGCCCUCUGCAGUGAAAGUGCAUAGUCCUAACCCCUGGAUCGUCAGGGAAUUCCCUUUGUUUUAACUAUAAGGAGAGAAAAGGAGAUAUCAGAGUUGAGAAGAGAAAUCCUAGCAAAUAGCUGCAUUCUCAGUUGAAUAUUGGAUCCAUGAUGGUUAGGAUCUGGUAUGUUCCUUUCAUCACUUGAAUCCAUUUCCUACAACCGUGUAAGGCCAUGAAAUACCAUGUGGCAUCAAUUUGUUUGUAAGCACAAAUCAAAUGGCAGUUUGGGAUCCUCCAGAUGAUGUAGAAUAUGCUGUUCUAAGUUUUUAAAGGUUAUCAGAGCAACAAAAAUCUAACCUAACUGAGAAGAAUUAAGAGACGACUUGCAUCCCCAAGAAUACCUUCCUGUAACCACAGAGUUCCUCAGAUGCUUGGAGAAAAUCUGCUCUGAAACUUUAAAAUUAGGGCAAUAAUAAUAUAAGUCACAAAUUAAUAUCCUAUUUAAAAAUAUGUACAUUUUCCGUGUGUGUGUAUGUGUCUAUCUGCAGGACUGAAGUCUAAUUUUUCAAUCCAACAAAGGUAUAUUUUGAUUGAUUGAUUGAUUUGACUGCAUUGGGUCUUAGUUGUGGCACAUGAGAUCUUUGCUGUGUCAUGAGGGAUUUUUUGUCGGGGCACACAGAUUCUCUGGGCACAUGGACUCAGUGAUUAUGGAGCACAGGCUUAGUUGCUUCAUGGCAUGUGGGAUCUUAGCUCCCCAACCAGGGAUCAAACCCAUGUCCCCCGCACUGUAAGGUGGAUUCUUAACCACUGUAUCUCCAGGGAAGUUCCUAUACUAUGUACUGAUCUUCAACCACAGGUGAGAUUAGGGUAUAAAACAAGAAACAGUGUCAUUAUUGUAACUUCAACUUUUCAGAUAUGUCAGAAAUGGACAAAUAUGGUUAUUCUCUGAGUAACAGCUCACUGAUCUGCCUCCAGCCCCCCAGGGAAUAUCCCAGGCUCUGCACUAUGGGCUUUGAAACCCAUCCAUCCAGACCUACUUGUGGCACUUGUAGUUAAUCUGUGGCCUGAAGCUUCACUUGCCCAGCAGUUCUAUUUCCCAAAAUAGGCUCAGGAAGUUUGUGACCAUGUUUGGUUUGUUCCAAAGGGGCUGCCAUAUAUUUAAUGAGGCUGUGAACAUACACUGAGAUUUGUAUAUGGCUCAUCAAAUAAAAUACAUCUUCCACCCUCUUUUCACUUCAGUACGUGGUUUGGAGUGGGCUGUUUUACAAGCACAUGUGUUUAUCAUAUGACUUUACUUGGGGACAAACAUCACUCGUUACAUUUAGGAUUCAGUUUCUGAGUAGCUGAACGCUCUGUCUCCUUCCUCUCUAUUCAAGGAAAGAAAUGUUAAGCUGGAUAGUCCCUUUCUCUUACUCUUUACAGCUUUCUUUGGAUGCAGAGGUGUUUUAUUUAAUUCAAAUAUGCCCUUUUUGCAUGGUAGGGGAAGAAAAAAAACCCUGUGGCUUAAAGUCCCUUUUCACCCAGAAAGGCAUAUAAUGAACGUCUUCCUGUGUGCAAGUGGGAAUAGGGAAUCUCUUAUCAAUUACGUGCAUUGAUGAGAGCAAUGUGUUUCCCUGGUUUGUGUGCCAGACUAGGAGCUGGAGACCUUGAUCUCCCUCAGCUGCUCAACCUCUCCAGGACAUUAGGCAAAUCAUUUACCUUCUAGGUCACUGGCUUCUUGUAUUUUUCUACAAAAUAUCUGUCCCUCGCAUACUAAAAGGAAGGAUUGUGACUAAUAUUGAUAAUGGCUAAAAAUGCAUUUUGCUUUUUCUGAGUCUCUAUGAUAACAUAUAGAGUAACAGAGGUGGUCCUGUACUAAAUGAACCUUGACAAGUGGAUAAAUGACUCACCCAGCAUCUUCCGGUUUACUAUAUAAUGUAAUAAACCACAUUCUGUGAAUAAGCCAAAUAGAUAAAACAUCCUUCAUUUGAUGAUUCAGACCCAGUCCAAUAAAGCAGAAUAUUUCGCAGAGUUUAUUUCCUGUAAUUGCAGGAGGUAAAAUUGAUUUCCCCAUUUUCCCCCUCACUUUUUUUUUUUCUCUCCCAGUGUUUGCUACAGUUACUGAUUGUGAAAGGAGACUUGAAAUAGAAUUUGUAAAAAAUGAAAUUUAAAACUUCACAAGUCUGAUGGUGCUUCCUUUGGGAAAAAAAUGUAGAGUUGCUAGUCUGUAUGAAAUUGUGAUCGGGACUCUCCUUUAGAAGUUUACAAGAAAAGGGGAAAUGUGUGAAAAGGAGAUUGUACCAUCCUGUCUUGAAGCAGAAGACUCAUCUGGAAGCUCCUGGCAUUCCUCAGUAAAAUUCAAAUGAUAUUGACAAGUUAAUGUGGUCUCUUUGGCUUUUCCUUGGUCUGGGUCAAGAAUUCAGCCAGUGCAGCCACUGCGUCCAGGGGGUGGGGCCGAGGAUUUGGCUGGUGUUGCUGGCUGGGUGGGCGGGUAAUUUACAGGAGCAAGGAAGUUGUGCUGAGAACAAUGAGAGCCAGAUAUUCUUGAUGCUUUUUUGUAAAAUUGUAUGUAUUUCAAAAUGAAAAGUAAAAUAAAAGUUAAUGUGAUUAAGUAUCUUAGUUUUACCAGAUAAACUGGCUUAUCUACAUGGUUUAUCUCAUGUAGAACAUUAUAUAUAUAUGUGUGUAUGUGUGUGUGUGUCUAUACACACACAUAUAUAAUAUAUGUGUAUGUGCCUACUAUGUCACUUCAGUCUUGUCUGACUCUUUUUUGACUCC